UACGUAGGGUGCAAGCGUUAAUCGGAAUUACUGGGCGUAAAGCGUGCGCAGGCGGUUAUAUAAGACAGUUGUGAAAUCCCCGGGCUCAACCUGGGAACUGCAUCUGUGACUGUAUAGCUAGAGUACGGUAGAGGGGGAUGGAAUUCCGGCGUGUAGCAGUGAAAUGCGUAGAUAUGCGGAGGAACACCGAUGGCGAAGGCAAUCCCCUGGACCUGUAC
rnacentral:rRNA from 1 species